CACACACGCAUACAUUUUUUGCGCCACUCGGCGGCUGGGCGAAUAUACAGUUUAGUCCGGCGAAUCAGUUGUCAGUUCGCCUCCAACUAGAAAACAGUUAAACGAAGUCCGUGCUUAAGCGUUUGGGGUUAAAAGCCACGAGCUUAAGCAAUAGCAACAGAAUAACAGAGAAAAUAAAAAGGGAA